UGAGGAAUAUUGGUCAAUGGUCGCAAGACUGAACCAGCCAUGCCGCGUGCAGGAUGACGGUCCUAUGGAUUGUAAACUGCUUUUGUACGGGAAGAAACACUCCUACGUGUAGCGGCUUGACGGUACCGUAAGAAUAAGGAUCGGCUAACUCCGUGC
rnacentral:rRNA from 1 species